GGAUCAAUAGUGUAGUGGUUAACAUCUUGGUUUCCAAGUCCAAGGAUGUGGGUUCGAUUCCCACUUGGUCCC
rnacentral:tRNA from 1 species